ensembl:miRNA
AUUUUGAGAGGUAAAAAAUUGAUUUGACUAGUUCUUUAACACAUCUAGCAAAUCAUUUUUUACUCUCCAAAAAGAAC